UAGAGUUUAGAAAGACACCAAACUAGUUUACCUUUUGGCUAUUCAAACAUUGUUCUUAUCUGAACUUGUAAAGGGAGGGUGCUGGAGCUUUUAGGAGUGGGUAGAGAACUUGCUUUGGACAGGAAAUUAGGUCGGAGAAGAGAAUAAACGAUAAGAAUUGAGUUUGGUUUGGGUAUUGACGAAACUAUGGGGAGAUCAAUAUUUUUGGUUUCUCAACGGAUUUUGAAGGACCUAUUUUGUGGUUAGAGGACCUAUUUUGUACCAGGUGAAAGUCUUACCAAAAGAAGCUACCAACUAGAUUGCAAGCAUGCUGAUAUCACUGGAGGAAAAAUUUAGAAAGUAAAGUUCCAGAUAUUGCAAAAUCUGGAUUUACAUCGGCCUGGUUGCCGCCAUCAACUCAUUCCUUUGCCCCGGAAGGUUGGUGCAUGAAAUUCAUCAAGUUGAUUUUUAUUCUUUCUACAUAUAGAUGACCAGAUCAUUGUGUCCACUUUGCUUUCCUCAUAUUGUAGGUUACCUCCUUCAGAACAUAUAUUCCCUCAAUUCUAAAUAUGGAUCUGAGCGCCAAUUAAGAGGUUUACUAAAAAAAAUUGGGUUACCUCCCUCAGAACAUAUAUUCCAUCGAAUUGGGUUUAUUUAUUUACAGCUUACUCUGUUUUGUGUUUCCGAAUAUUCAAUUAGUUAUGCAACUAAAUAUGUGAAGGAGUAUAUUGAAGGAGCAAAACCAAUUUUUUCCGCUGGGGAGUAUUGAGAUUCUUGCAACUACAAUGGUCAUGGUUUGGACUACAACUAAGGUAUAAUAUAUUGAUGUUUAUUGAGCACCAAUUCAACAAAUCAGAUCAACGAACCACAGUCACUUCAGUUAUUCUAUAUGAAUAAAGUUAUAUAGGCGUGAUGAAGCUCUAGUCUGAAUAACUAAAAUACCUCAAGGUUGAUAGUAUUAGUUAAUAUAGAAAGGCUAGCUUGAAUUUAGUAGUAAUGACGUUACUUUGGCUCUCUCUCU